CCUACGGGAGGCAGCAGUAAGGAAUAUUGGACAAUGGGCGAAAGCCUGAUCCAGCCAUGCCGCGUGAAGGAUUAAGGUCCUCUGGAUUGUAAACUUCUUUUAUGUGGGACGAAAAAAGGGCAUUCUUGCUCACUUGACGGUACCAUUUGAAUAAGCACCGGCUAACUCCGUGCCAGCAGCCGCGGUAAUACGGAGGGUGCAAGCGUUAUCCGGAUUCACUGGGUUUAAAGGGUGCGUAGGCGGGUAGGUAAGUCAGUGGUGAAAUCUCGAAGCUUAACUUCGAAACUGCCAUUGAUACUAUCUAUCUUGAAUAUUGUGGAGGUUUGCGGAAUAUGUCAUGUAGCGGUGAAAUGCUUAGAUAUGACAUAGAACACCGAUUGCGAAGGCAGCAGGCUACACAUAUAUUGACGCUGAGGCACGAAAGCGUGGGGAUCAAACAGGAUUAGAUACCCUGGUAGUCCACGCCCUAAACGAUGAUUACUCGACAUACGCGAUACACUGUGUGUGUCUGNGNGAGANAUAUAUACACNGAGACGCGCGAGAGNGANANAGAGUAGAGNGNGAGAGNGCGAGGCGACACGAGGGAGAGG
rnacentral:rRNA from 1 species